UACGUAGGGUGCAAGCGUUGUCCGGAUUUAUUGGGCGUAAAGAGCUCGUAGGCGGUCUGUCGCGUCGAAUGUGAAAACCCGGGGCUCAACCCCGGGCCUGCAUUCGAUACGGGCAGACUAGAGUUCGGUAGGGGAGACUGGAAUUCCUGGUGUAGCGGUGAAAAUGCGCAGAUAUCAGGAGGAACACCGGUGGCGAAGGCGGGUCUCUGGGCCGAUACUGACGCUGAGGAGCGAAAGCGUGGGGAGCGAACAGG
rnacentral:rRNA from 1 species